rnacentral:rRNA from 1 species
UAGGGAAUCUUCCACAAUGGACGCAAGUCUGAUGGAGCAACGCCGCGUGAGUGAAGAAGGUUUUCGGAUCGUAAAGCUCUGUUGUUGGUGAAGAAGGAUAGAGGCAGUAACUGGUCUUUAUUUGACGGUAAUCAACCAGAAAGUCACGGCUAACUACGUGCCAGCAGCCGCGGUAAUACGUAGGUGGCAAGCGUUGUCCGGAUUUAUUGGGCGUAAAGCGAGCGCAGGCGGAAUGAUAAGUCUGAUGUGAAAGCCCACGGCUCAACCGUGGAACUGCAUCGGAAACUGUCAUUCUUGAGUGCAGAAGAGGAGAGUGGAACUCCAUGUGUAGCGGUGGAAUGCGUAGAUAUAUGGAAGAACACCAGUGGCGAAGGCGGCUCUCUGGUCUGCAACUGACGCUGAGGCUCGAAAGCAUGGGUAGCGACAGGAUUAGAUAAAAACCC